CAUCAGCUACACUUCCACAGAGUGCUGUGUGUCUGUUGCCCCCAUCCCGUGUAGAUACUGUGUUUGUCUAGUGGGGCAAGUUGCAUCCCACACAUUACUGGGUAAAGCUAUCUUGAUGUUCAAGUGUGGCCCUUAGCUCAGGGCUUUCACUUCAUAAUGGAUGCCUCAGCUCCUGGUGACUCUGACCAAGAGAAGGGAAGUGUGAUGAUGUCGAGGGAGCUGGAGUCCAGUUGCCAUGAAGGGAACACCCUGGCACAUCAUUACUAUAUCCUGGGUACCCUAGAUCAAGGGUCCUUUGCCCAAGUCAAAGUGGCUGUCCACCUUAUGACCCAGACCAUGGUAGCCAU